rnacentral:lncRNA from 1 species
AUUUUCACUUAAUAGACAAUUCUUAACCAGCCUUUUGGCUCCAGUUUCUUAAGGAUGGCCCUCUAUCUGAUCGCAGCUAUAAAACUAAGGACUCUUUUAUACGAAGAAAGCAGAGAAUUUGAUAUUAAAUUGUGAGAUUGAAAAGCACCACUUUUAGCAGCCAGUUUAUAAGGCAGCUAGGAACAUCCUAAAAUGCCUGCUGGUCACAGUUCCCUUCUGAGCAAAGCAGCUAUAUGGUCUCUACGCAUAAGUCUGCUUUCUUCAAACACAGGAUCCACUCCAUUGUGACUAGGUUGAUAAAGCACGGUGAUUGUGUGUAUGAAACUACUCUGCUCACUUUUCUCAAUAAGGAGCAGUCCCAGGAAGGUGCUUUAAAUCUUCGUGGAUCAUUGAGCUGGGCCGGAACACAAAGGGCUGGUCAAGGUUCAAAGAUUAGGCAGAAUUUCUCUCCAACAAGAUUCAAGCUUGCUUUCACUUUGCAUCACCGGAACAAACAAGCAGAGCAAAGGCUCCCCUACCCGGGAGGACUGAUGGGAGACAGCUGUGGUUCCUCUUGCUCUUACUUUCUCAAAAAGGUGCACCAGGGUUCGGAGCCUCAAUCGAGCAGAAACAAGGUCACUGCCACAGCAUGGCUGAUGAGUGCUGUAGGUCCACGCCUGGGAUCCGAAUCCACGAAUCCAGGCCACUGAAGCGGGGCUUGCCAAACUUAACCACCAGGCACAGGGCCAGCCCCUCUUUUUCUUUCUUUGAAUAGGCU